rnacentral:rRNA from 1 species
AACGAACGCUGGCGGCAUGCCUAACACAUGCAAGUCGAACGAGACCUUCGGGUCUAGUGGCGAACGGGUGCGUACCGCGUGGGAACCUGCCCUUAGGUUCGGAAUAACUCCCCGAAAGGGGUCCUAAUACCGGCUAAUGUCUCCGGACCAAAGAUUUAUCGCCUUUGGAUGGGCCCGCGUUGGUUUAGUUAGUUGGUAGGGUAAAAGCCUACCAAGGCGACGAUCCAUAGCUGGUCUGAGAGGAUGAUCAGCCACACUGGGACUGAGACACGGCCCAGACUCCUGCGGGAGGCAGCAGUGGGGAAUAUUGGACAAUGGGCGAAAGCCUGAUCCAGCAAUGCCGCGUGAGUGAUGAAGGCCUUAGGGUUGUAAAGCUCUUUUACCCGGGAUGAUAAUGACGGUACCGGGAGAAUAAGCUCCGGCUAACUCCGUG